rnacentral:rRNA from 1 species
AUGAACGCUGGCGGCGUGCCUAAUACCUGCAAGUCGAGCGAACAGAUGAGGAGCUUGCUCCUCUGACGUUAGCGGCGGACGGGUGAGUAACACGUGGAUAACCUACCUAUAAGACUGGGAUAACUUCGGGAAACCGGAGCUAAUACCGGAUAAUAUAUUGAACCGCAUGGUUCAAUAGUGAAAGACGGUUUUGCUGUCACUUAUAGAUGGAUCCGCGCCGCAUUAGCUAGUUGGUAAGGUAACGGCUUACCAAGGCGACGAUGCGUAGCCGACCUGAGAGGGUGAUCGGCCACACUGGAACUGAGACACGGUCCAGACUCCUACGGGAGGCAGCAGUAGGGAAUCUUCCGCAAUGGGCGAAAGCCUGACGGAGCAACGCCGCGUGAGUGAUGAAGGUCUUCGGAUCGUAAAACUCUGUUAUUAGGGAAGAACAAAUGUGUAAGAAACUAUGCACGUCUUGACGGUACCUAAUCAGAAAGCCACGGCUAACUACGUG